CGAGGACAGACAAGGUGAUCAGCUCCCGCCUGGCCCUCUCCCCUCAGAACACACAGCUUUGCAGCCCUGAGCCACCAGAAACUCCAAUAAAGGCUCUGGCUUAGGCUUUUCCCUUAUUCCUGCUUCUGCCUCCUGAUCAAAACCUGAUGCCUUCCCUGUGGCCCUGAGUGGCAUGGCAUAUCCCCUUCUCUCAGGAAUGACACAGCUUCCCAGCACUAACUGAAAGCUCUCAAGGUGAAGUGUCCCAGUUUAUUUAAGCACCACCUGGCAGCCACUGAAGUGUCACGUUUCUAUCUCACAAGAGUUAGCCAUGAAUCUGAUUGCUACUGUUCCACAUGAUUAGCACG